UCGAACUCCUUACUAUGGUAAGUAUUGUCCUUGAGUUAUGUCAGAGUUUUGUUUCUCACCUCCACUAAGAGCCAUGUAUGGUUCACAAAUGAGAAGUGUCUCGAGGCAACAAGUUGUUCGUGAGCAUACGAAUGUCGGGUUAUCUUCACAUCUUUGGUUUUGUCGCUUGUUGGGGUAAGAUUGGACCAUCUCUUCUUCUUGGAUAGGAGGUUUGUUCUUGAGGGUCCCUUCCAACCCUUAACUCUUCAAAGAUUUCCUUAUUUCUUAGGUUGAGC
rnacentral:lncRNA from 1 species